ACGGAAGGCAGCAGUGGGGAAUAUUGCACAAUGGAGGAAACUCUGAUGCAGCGACGCCGCGUGACUGAAGAAGUGUUUCGGUAUGUAAAGGUCUAUCAGCAAGGAAGAAAAUGACGGUACUUGACUAAGAAGCUCCGGCUAAAUACGUGCCAGCAGCCGCGGUAAUACGUAUGGAGCAAGCGUUAUCCGGAUUUACUGGGUGUAAAGGGAGUGUAGGUGGCAUCACAAGUCAGAAGUGAAAGCCCGGGGCUCAACCCCGGGACUGCUUUUGAAACUGUGGAGCUAGAGUGCAGGAGAGGUAAGUGGAAUUCCUAGUGUAGCGGUGAAAUGCGUAGAUAUUAGGAGGAACACCAGUGGCGAAGGCGGCUUACUGGACUGUAACUGACACUGAGGCUCGAAAGCGUGGGGAGCAAACAGGAUUAGAUACCCUGGUA
rnacentral:rRNA from 1 species